rnacentral:rRNA from 1 species
UGAUGUUGGKGGGCGGUUCGGGAUCGACRGKGGGGUUUACGCCCCGCAUCAUUGUCAAAAUGCGUAAACAUCAUGCUUCGGUGUGAUGAAUCCGCAGCCGGGGCCCAUUCCGGGGACCGGKGCAACGACUAAAACACAUAUGGCCGGUAGGGCACGCACGCUCGCCGGUUAARAUAUAGUCUCAUCCCCCGGAGCGAUCCGGGGGGCGUAGKGGCAUUAAAUCAGUUAUCGUUUAUUUGAUAGUACCUAUCUACAUGGAUAACCGKGGUAAUUCUAGAGCUAAUACAUGCUAAAAACCCCRACUUCGGAAGGGGUGUAUUUAUUARAUAAAAAACCAAKGCCCUUCGGGGCUCCGKGGKGAUUCAUAAUAACUUAACGAAUCGCAUGGCCUUGCGCCGGCRAUGGUUCAUUCAAAUUUCUGCCCUAUCAACUUUCGAUGGUAGGAUAGUGGCCUACCAUGGUGGCAACGGGUAACGGGRAAUUAGGGUUCGAUUCCGGARAGGGAGCCUGAGAAACGGCUACCACAUCCAAGGAAGGCAGCAGGCGCGCAAAUUACCCAAUCCCGACACGGGGAGGUAGUGACAAUAAAUACUGAUACARAGCUCUUUUGGGUUUUGUAAUUGGAAUGAGUACAAUUUAAAUCUCUUAACGAGGAACAAUUGGAGGGCAAGUCUGGUGCCAGCAGCCGCGGUAAUUCCAGCUCCAAUAGCGUAUAUUAAAGUUGUUGCAGUUAAAAAGCUCGUAGUUGAACCUUGGGCCUGGCUGACCGGUCCGCCUCACCGCGUGCACUGGUUCGGCCGGGCCUUUCUUUCUGGGGAACCGCAUGCCCUUCACUGGGUGUGUCGGCGAAUCAGGACUUUUACUUUGAAAAAUUAGAGUGUUCAAAGCAGGCCUAUGCUCGAUACAUUAGCAUGRAUAUAGAUAGGACGUGUGUUCUAUUUUGUGGUUCUAGGACCGCCGUAUR